UGGCUCAGGACGAACGCUGGCGGCGUGCCUAAUACAUGCAAGUCGAGCGGACAGAUGGGAGCUUGCUCCCUGAUGUUAGCGGCGGACGGGUGAGUAACACGUGGGUAACCUGCCUGUAAGACUGGGAUAACUCCGGGAAACCGGGGCUAAUACCGGAUGCUUGUUUGAACCGCAUGGUUCAAACAUAAAAGGUGGCUUCGGCUACCACUUACAGAUGGACCCGCGGCGCAUUAGCUAGUUGGUGAGGUAAUGGCUCACCAAGGCGACGAUGCGUAGCCGACCUGAGAGGGUGAUCGGCCACACUGGGACUGAGACACGGCCCAGACUCCUACGGGAGGCAGCAGUAGGGAAUCUUCCGCAAUGGACGAAAGUCUGACGGAGCAACGCCGCGUGAGUGAUGAAGGUUUUCGGAUCGUAAAGCUCUGUUGUUAGGGAAGAACAAGUACCGUUCGAAUAGGGCGGUACCUUGACGGUACCUAACCAGAAAGCCACGGCUAACUACGUGCCAGCAGCCGCGGUAAUACGUAGGUGGCAAGCGUUGUCCGGAAUUAUUGGGCGUAAAGGGCUCGCAGGCGGUUUCUUAAGUCUGAUGUGAAAGCCCCCGGCUCAACCGGGGAGGGUCAUUGGAAACUGGGGAACUUGAGUGCAGAAGAGGAGAGUGGAAUUCCACGUGUAGCGGUGAAAUGCGUAGAGAUGUGGAGGAACACCAGUGGCGAAGGCGACUCUCUGGUCUGUAACUGACGCUGAGGAGCGAAAGCGUGGGGAGCGAACAGGAUUAGAUACCCUGGUAGUCCACGCCGUAAACGAUGAGUGCUAAGUGUUAGGGGGUUUCCGCCCCUUAGUGCUGCAGCUAACGCAUUAAGCACUCCGCCUGGGGAGUACGGUCGCAAGACUGAAACUCAAAGGAAUUGACGGGGGCCCGCACAAGCGGUGGAGCAUGUGGUUUAAUUCGAAGCAACGCGAAGAACCUUACCAGGUCUUGACAUCCUCUGACAAUCCUAGAGAUAGGACGUCCCCUUCGGGGGCAGAGUGACAGGUGGUGCAUGGUUGUCGUCAGCUCGUGUCGUGAGAUGUUGGGUUAAGUCCCGCAACGAGCGCAACCCUUGAUCUUAGUUGCCAGCAUUCAGUUGGGCACUCUAAGGUGACUGCCGGUGACAAACCGGAGGAAGGUGGGGAUGACGUCAAAUCAUCAUGCCCCUUAUGACCUGGGCUACACACGUGCUACAAUGGACAGAACAAAGGGCAGCGAAACCGCGAGGUUAAGCCAAUCCCACAAAUCUGUUCUCAGUUCGGAUCGCAGUCUGCAACUCGACUGCGUGAAGCUGGAAUCGCUAGUAAUCGCGGAUCAGCAUGCCGCGGUGGAAUACGUUCCCGGG
rnacentral:rRNA from 1 species